GAGCUUUUUCACCGAGCUCCCUAAACGCUUCCUGGAAUGUAGGGUCGGAAACGGAGUGAGGGAUGCACAGUGGAAGAGAAAAAUGAACGACAUCAGGCUGAUUUCAUACCGGCGCUCGGACGGCUGGAGCUCCUCAUCACGCACGACAGAUCAAAAAAAAAGCGGCGGGAGGAGACGCUCGAGCUGAACACAUACGGUCUAAUCUCGUUAGGAUACAAGUUAACACCAGAGCGAAGGAAAGAGGAAAGGAAGGAUGAGUCCACUGACUUUCACCUUUCUGCACCUCACCAACGUUCGUGCAUCUCUCUCUCUCUCUCUCUCUCUCUCUCUCUCACACACACACACACACACACACACACACACACACACACAAAGUGAACAACAUCACACGACACCAAGAAACAAAAUGGCAGCCACAUGUUUUUGACUCAACACCAAACUACUGAUCUGGACACCAUCCUGAUUCUUGCUAAACUAGUGUACUAGACAUCUCAAUUAGACCGCAAACCUACUAGCACUGCGAAAUACACGCCUCUCGUUCCCUAAUUUGCACAUCUGGUGCGUCUGGAACUCUAGUUCAGGUGCCACGCGUCCUACUUUGCUCACCUAGGCCCCUACUUUAGACCUCUGAACUUCUAUUUUGAAUUGAAAUGUCUAGUUUAAAGAUAUCACUAGAGUUAAGAUGUGUAGAACUCUGGUUUAAAUAUCUACUCCCUUAUUUUGAACACAUAGUUUGGACAUUGUAUCCUUUGUCUUAGACCACUACUUUAAUACACUUCUAGCCUGGAAACCUAAACUAAGUUACUAGAUGACUAAGUGAGGAGUCCAAACAUUUGAACUAGAGGAUUAUUUUAAAAACUAGCCAUCAAAAGCAGGGGUCAAAAUAUCUAACAUCUAAACUACUGGAAGUUUAUAGAUAUAGUUUUACAGAUAUCUUUGGGAGACUAGAUAUGAGGACUGUUUCCUGACUUUAAACUAGAAUACAAUACAUGAGCUAGGGAACUAGACAUCUUCACUAGGUAACUAUCCAUCCAUCCAUUUUCUAUACCGCUUACUCCUUCUUCAGGGUCACGGGGAACCUGGAGCCUAUCCCAGGGAGCAUCGGGCACAAGGCAGGGUACACCCUGGACAGGGUGCCAGUCCAUCGCAGGGCACAAUCACACACCCACUCACACACCCAUUCAUACACUAUGGACACUUUAGACACGCCAAUCAGCCUACCAUGCAUGUCUUUGGACUGGGGGAGGAAACCGGAGUACCUGGAGGAAACCCCUGCAGAAUGAGGAGAACAUGCAAACUCCACACACACAGGGCUACAGUGGGAAUCGAACCCCCGACCCUGGAGGUGUGAGGCAAACGUGCUCAAUUGAUAGGACAAUUGAUAGUUAACACAGUUGAUAGUUAACAAACUAACUGAUAGUUAACAUUAGCUAAUGUAAAGUAGAUGUAAAACUGGACUAGAUGGCUAGACAAUUAGAUAGCUAAACUAGUGUCCUAACUAUCCAAAGUAAGUGAAUAUACAGGAUCUCUCAAAAGUGAGUACACCCCUCACAUUUUUGUAAAUAUUUGACAUAAAUAAAGAAUUAUAUUAAUAAAUAAAUAUUUGACGUAAAUAACAUCCACCACCUCCGUGAUGUUGUCAUGGAGGUGUGGAAGAGGACUCCAGUGGCAACCUGUGAAGCUCUGGUGAACUCCAUGCCCAAGAGGGUUAAGGCAGUGCUGGAAAAUAAUGGUGGCCACACAAAAUAUUGACACUUUGGGCCCAAUUUGGACAUUUUCACUUAGGGGUGUACUCACUUUUGUUGCCAGAGGUUUAGACAUUAAUGGCUGUGUGUUGAGUUAUUUUGAGGGGACAGCAAAUUUACACUGUUACACAAGCUGUACUGUUACUGUAAGCUCACUACUUUACAUUGUAGCAAAGUGUCAUUUCUUCAGUGUUGUCACAUUAAAGAUAUAAUCAAAUAUUUACAAAAAUGUGAGGGGUGUACUCACUUUUGUGAGAUACUGUAUGUCUAACCUAAGGGAUCACAUACCUAAACUAAUAAACUAGUUUUCUAAAAACUAAACAUCUAGACUAGAGGGCUAGUUAUCUAAACUAAGGAACAAGAUAUCUAAACUAGAGGACUAGAUAUCUAAAUUAAAGGACCAGAUAUCUAAAAUAGAGGACUAGAUAUCAAAACUAGAGGACCAGAUAUCUAAAAUAGAGGACUAGAUAUCUAAACUAAGGAACAAGAUAUCUAAACUAGAGGACUAUUUAUCUAAACUAGAGCACCAGAUAUCUAAAACUAGAGGACUAGAUAUCUAAACUAAGGAACAAGAUAUCUAAACUAGAGGACUAGAUAUCUAAACUAGAGCACCAGAUAUCUAAACUAGAGGACUAGAUAUCUAAACUAAGGGACCAGAUAUAAACUAGACGACUACUUAUCUAAAUUAGAGGACUAGAUAUCUAAACUAAGGAACAAGAUACCUAAACUAGAGGACUGCUUAUCUAAACUAGAGGACUAGAUAUUUAAACUAGAGGACUAUAUAUCUAAAUUAAGGGAUUCGAUAUCUAAACUAAGAGACUAGACAUCUAGAGUAGAGGACUAGUAAUCUAACCUAGAGGACUAGAUAUCUAAACUAGAGGACUGGAUAUCUAAACUAAGGGACUAGAUAUCUAAACUAAGGAACAAGAUAUCUAAACUAGAGGACUGCUUAUCUAAACUAGAGGACUAGAUAUCUAAACUAAGCGGCCAUAUAUCUAAUCUAGAGGACUAGUUAUCUAAACUAGAGGAUUAUAUAUCUAAAUUAAGGGACUAGAUAUCUAAACUAAGGAGACUAGAUGUCUAGACUAGAGGACUGGCUAUCUAAACUAAGGGACUAGUUAUCUAAACUAGAGGACUGGUUAUGUAAACUAGAGGGACUAGUUAUCUAAAAAAAGGACUGGAUAUCUAAA
ensembl:lncRNA